UCUGAAGUGAAGGAGUGACAUCAGUGUGCACAGAGAUUAAAAAAAGGGUGGAUGGGGUUCUGUUGAAGGCCCUGACCUGGACUUACACUCGGACUUCGGUUCGUUUCGGUGGUGGGACCCGCUCAAGGGGGCUCCCGGAUGGCCACCUUUCGAUAUCCCAAGGACACAGCCGAGAAGAUGAGUGCACCUUCAGGGUUCCGAGGCUUUGUGGCCCCGUGGAUGAGCUGAUUUUAAGCCGCUGCCGCCAAUUGAAGCGUCGCAGGAGAGAACGGAAUAUCGGGAACAGUGGAUCAGCUGUCGGAGGCUCUGUGCUCGGCGAAUUGUGCUCUCUCCCUCACUGGUGUGCGAGAGAUUGUUAGCGACUCUCUGGGCAGAGCACUCAGAAAAAAAGCGGCACGACGGAGUUUCAACAACAUAAAUCAGCAAGUUGUUUGUUGUGUCUUCCCUCUUGCUGAGAAAAGGGUCACCUCUUUUUUCUUUUAUUAAGGAGAGAGAGCCCGUGGCAAGUCAAAUUGCCGGAUAUGCAAACAAAGCAGGAAGCAAUUACAAACAUGGAAGAUGAAGCUGAUAAAACCCUAAACAGUCUACGAAUCACAAACAUCUUUCAGACGCCCCACCACCAUCAAAUCUAAUGAAGUCUACAAAACGAACUUCUCCGUUCAUCACUUUGAUACAAUUGAUGUGGGUGUCUCAACAACCAGAGUCACAAUUACCUUUUUUAAUGUUUUGUCGUUGCUGAUUUUGUUUUCUAUUGUUACGGCAUUGUUUCACCCAUCGCAGAAUGUUAAAAAUAUUAGUGGAUCUCUAAUCCAUUUCAUAGGCUAUUUUUCUUGCCUUUUUAAAAUUUAAAAAUCACCUUUCUAUAUCAAAUUUUUGCUGAGAUAUUUUCUAUUUGAAACAAAGAUAAACGGUUGAAACUCCUCUUUAAAUUAAAAACAUGCAACUGAUCAUGCUGUGCCUGUUUCAGCUUUGAUAAGCACUUUAUAUGCUUCUAGUUUAGUGCUUCUAAAUUCCUAUCUCUGUCUCCCAGGCCUCCGUCUGUUUUGUUAAGAGCUGCUCUGCAUGUUCGCUCUUCAUAUUUAUCCAUUUUCUUUUUGCCAAAAAAAAAGUUAAUUAUUAGCCUCAAGCAUUCCCAAAUCAAAUUUGUUUGCCUGUAAGCAAACAAAUCUCAAAGUGUAGAUCUAGCACCCCAUAUUCGAGUAAAUAA